rnacentral:rRNA from 1 species
AUUGGGAAUUCCUUGGUGUAGCGGGUGGAAUGCGCAGAUAUCAGGAGGAACACCGAUGGCGAAGGCAGAUCUCUGGGCCGUAACUGACGCUGAGGAGCGAAAGCAUGGGGAGCGAACAGGAUUAGAUACCCUGGUAGUCCAUGCCGUAAACGUUGGGCGCUAGAUGUAGGGACCUUUCCACGGUUUCUGUGUCGUAGCUAACGCAUUAAGCGCCCCGCCUGGGGAGUACGGCCGCAAGGCUAAAACUCAAAGGAAUUGACGGGGGCCCGCACAAGCGGCGGAGCAUGCGGAUUAAUUCGAUGCAACGCGAAGAACCUUACCAAGGCUUGACAUACACCGGAAACGGCCAGAGAUGGUCGCCCCCUUGUGGUCGGUGUACAGGUGGUGCAUGGUUGUCGUCAGCUCGUGUCGUGAGAUGUUGGGUUAAGUCCCGCAACGAGCGCAACCCUCGUUCUAUGUUGCCAGCGGGUUAUGCCGGGGACUCAUAGGAGACUGCCGGGGUCAACUCGGAGGAAGGUGGGGAUGACGUCAAAUCAUCAUGCCCCUUAUGUCUUGGGCUUCACGCAUGCUACAAUGGCCGGUACAAAGGGCUGCGAUACCGUAAGGUGGAGCGAAUCCCAAAAAGCCGGUCUCAGUUCGGAUUGAGGUCUGCAACUCGACCUCAUGAAGUCGGAGUCGCUAGUAAUCGCAGAUCAGCAACGCUGCGGUGAAUACGUUCCCGGGCCUUGUACACACCGCCCGUCAAGUCAUGAAAGUCGGUAACACCCGAAGCCGGUGGCCUAACCCUUGUGGAAGGAGCCGUCG